UUCAAUAUAUAUAUAUAAUUUAUAUAUGCUUCACCGUCUAUCAUAAGGUACGUACAUUUUCAGUUUAAUAUGUGUAUUGCUUUGUUUCAGUUGUUAUAUAUCUAAUAUAGUUAUGUAU